UACGGGGGGGGUAAGCGUUGUUCGGAAUUACUGGGCGUAAAGGGCUCGUAGGCGGCCAACUAAGUCAGACGUGAAAUCCCUCAGCUUAACUGGGGAACUGCGUCUGAUACUGGAUGGCUUGGAUUUGGGAGAGGGAUGCGGAAUUCCAGGUGUAGCGGUGAAAUGCGUAGAUAUCAGGAGGAACACCGGUGGCGAAGGCGGGUCUCUGGGCCGUAACUGACGCUGAGGAGCGAAAGCAUGGGGAGCGAACAGG
rnacentral:rRNA from 1 species